AUUGAACGCUGGCGGCAUGCUUUACACAUGCAAGUCGAACGGUAACAGGCCGCAAGGUGCUGACGAGUGGCGAACGGGUGAGUAAUGCAUCGGAACGUGCCCAGUCGUGGGGGAUAACGCAGCGAAAGCUGUGCUAAUACCGCAUACGAUCUAUGGAUGAAAGCGGGGGACCGUAAGGCCUCGCGCGAUUGGAGCGGCCGAUGUCAGAUUAGCUAGUUGGUGGGGUAAAGGCCCACCAAGGCGACGAUCUGUAGCUGGUCUGAGAGGACGACCAGCCACACUGGGACUCAGACACGGCCCAGACUCCGACGGGAGGCAGCAGUGGGGAAUUUUGGACAAUGGGCGCAAGCCUGAUCCAGCAAUGCCGCGUGCAGGAAGAAGGCCUUCGGGUUGUAAACUGCUUUUGUACGGAACGAAACGGUCUGGGUUAAUACCCUGGGCUAAUGACGGUACCGUAAGAAUAAGCACCGGCUAACUACGUGCCAGCCGCCGCCGCGG
rnacentral:rRNA from 1 species